UUUAAUUCGAUGCAACGCGAAGAACCUUACCUGGUCUUGACAUCCACGGAAGUUUUCAGAGAUGAGAAUGUGCCUUCGGGAACCGUGAGACAGGUGCUGCAUGGCUGUCGUCAGCUCGUGUUGUGAAAUGUUGGGUUAAGUCCCGCAACGAGCGCAACCCUUAUCCUUUGUUGCCAGCGGUCCGGCCGGGAACUCAAAGGAGACUGCCAGUGAUAAACUGGAGGAAGGUGGGGAUGACGUCAAGUCAUCAUGGCCCUUACGACCAGGGCUACACACGUGCUACAAUGGCGCAUACAAAGAGAAGCGACCUCGCGAGAGCAAGCGGACCUCAUAAAGUGCGUCGUAGUCCGGAUUGGAGUCUGCAACUCGACUCCAUGAAGUCGGAAUCGCUAGUAAUCGUGGAUCAGUAUGCCA
rnacentral:rRNA from 1 species